AGAAAACCCACGAUUCCACCUGAAGAGAAAUAACUCCCCAGUUCCCCCACCUAACACCCUUCUUUCUUCGAUUGUGCAUUCUAAAAGAAAAAGAAAUCAAUACUUCGAAAUUGUUUCCUCAGAGAAGAUAAAUCUUUCAAAUUUGGACUGAGGAAAUCCAUCAAUUUCUUCCUUAUCUGCAAGAUUUCAUCUGGUACGAAUAUCAGUAAGAAAUUCAAUUACUUAUUCCUUUGAUAUCCUGGGAUAGGUUUGGAUUCUCAAUUCUGAAUUCUAACAUUCUUCUCAAGGAAAACUCAUUACUUGGCUUUUAUUCUCUAGUAUUUAUUUGGUUUUUUAGAAUGUCAUCACAAUCAUUAGUGCACGUAGUUAUUCUUUGUGGUUCUUACAGGGACACGGGUGACGACCAAUAACCUCCAGCAACAAAGAAAUCAAGAGGCAUUGCUAAGUUAAAUUUUCUUACCAAGUUGAAAAAAAGGCGAGAAAGUGCCACCGGAAUUUUGCCAGCGUGAAUCAGUUAGCCCGAACACAAGAGUAAGAUCUCGACUUACUGUAGAAAACUGGCACAAAAUGGAGAAAACUUCCCUUUUGACAUUCAUGACUGGUCUGAAAUUCCAGAGAAGCAAGAAAAAAUUGAAGAGCUUAAGAUCAGUGUUUGGGUGGAGAAGAAAAUUCAUGAAAAAUGGAAGGCAAACAAACGUAAUAUGAUGGUGCAGCAUUGCAAUGAGGAAAAAAUUGUUGCACAAAACAAAGCUAAGGAAGUUAUUGAUACUAAGGUAUUCCCCUGAACUCCAGGAAGGGAAGAUUUGGAAGAGAAUCGUUCCGAUAAUGAUAUUUCAAUCCUAGAGGUCACUUCUCGUGACCAGCUGAGGUAUUCUAAAACUGUAGGAGCUGAGAAACCAGGUCGGAUUCUGUGAUGUUUGCUCAGUUAUUAAACUAAAUAAGCUUAAGGUGGCAUCUUCUUCAAUUUUUGGCCAAAAUAAAAAGGAGAACGUGGUAUUGGGAGAUGAAAUUAAGAAGUUGAAAGAGGAUCAGGUUGAUAUGCAAGAAGAAUGUCUUCAGAUGGAUUAAACUGUAGAGGAGAUGAAAAAGGAAAAUGAGAAAUCACAGCAAAAAAAUAGAUGCGCUAUUGCAACUACUAACUAGUGAGGGCAACUUCCCACAGCAACAGCUAUAGAAUUAUGAUCUUGCUAAAUUUAUCCAGGAUGCAUUAAAAGAUAUAUUAAGGUUGUCGGAUGAUGUAUGUUGGUUAACUUUAGAAGCAAGGAAUGUUAGAGCAUCCAUCGGCAAUACUGUACUAUCAGAUGAUGUAUGUUGAUUGUUAUUUUUCGUUUUUUCAUGUUAUUCUCCUAAAUAACUUGACUGAAAUACUGUACUAUCUAAUUUUUUAUUUGCCUUUGUUGAAUGUAAUCAAUCAACAAUUUUGUAUUAUAUGAUGUUUUAUUUUGAAUGAA